AGAGUUUGAUCCUGGCUCAGGACGAACGCUUGCGGCGUGCCUAAGAAAUGCAAGUCGAACGGGAGCUUCGGCUCUAGUGGCGAACGGUCGCGUAACACGUGGGCAACCUGCCUGAAGCGGGGGACAACAGUUCGAAAGGACUGCUAAUACCGCAUGUGGUCCGAGGAGGCAUCUCUUCUGACUAAAGGAGUAAUCCACUU
rnacentral:rRNA from 1 species